AAAAUCUUCCCUAGGAGCCAAGGCUUAGAGUUAUUUGUAUGAACGUUUUCAAAUUCACUACAACAAAAAGGGGUUUUAGCGGUAAUUAUUUAUCGGCAAUAAAGUAAUUACCGCUAAUUUAUUCAGGGAACGCAAAUAUUGCCGGCCAAUAAAUAUUUGCUGGUCCUCUAAAUCCUCUCCCGCUUAAACCUUGUAAAGCCGCUCAACUUUUCAACAAAAUAUUCUAAAUUGGCAAAACAAUAUACGCUCAAACAAUAUACUUUUGAAAUCGGCACCAAGCAUCUCCACCUCCCUGUAUCUCAACCGAUGGCCAAAAUAGUCGACACCGUCACAGUCGCUGACACCUUCACAAUCACCGGUUUUGAGAUUGUUACUGGCAUUUUUCUCCUUCACUUUCUUAUCUUCAUCGUCAAAGUAUUUUUCUUACCAGAAGAACAACUGCACAGUUGUACAACAACAGUAGAGGGACAACUACACAAUUGUGCAACAACUGCAGAAGGACAACUAUGAGUUCUGCUACAACAGUUUUAUUUUUUGGGUAAUUCAGAAGCAAAAAAGGUUUUAGGCCUACUUUACUGAAAGAUAUUUGGAAAUUUUCACCGGAGAAGACAGUUGAUGUGCCGUUUAAUAAAUGCCUCAAAGUAGCAACGCCACCUCAGGUGAACAGGUCAUACAGUCUAAUGUCCGAUAAUUUAGCGGGUGGAAGAUUUCAAAAUGAUGAAAAAUUGCGAAAAUUAUUUGAAGACCAUCAUUCGUUUGGAUUAGUUAUAUAAUGACAUUAGUUACUUAGUUCGAACAAUAUAUGUUUAUUUUUUAUGUUACUAUGACAUUAAUAUCAUUUAUUAGCACUUCCUUUUGUUAA